rnacentral:rRNA from 1 species
GCAUGGUCUUAGCUUGCUAAGGCCGAUGGCGACCGGCGCACGGGUGAGUAACACGUAUCCAACCUGCCGUCUACUCUUGGACAGCCUUCUGAAAGGAAGAUUAAUACAAGAUGGCAUCAUGAGUCCGCAUGUUCACAUGAUUAAAGGUAUUCCGGUAGACGAUGGGGAUGCGUUCCAUUAGAUAGUAGGCGGGGUAACGGCCCACCUAGUCUUCGAUGGAUAGGGGUUCUGAGAGGAAGGUCCCCCACAUUGGAACUGAGACACGGUCCAAACUCCUACGGGAGGCAGCAGUGAGGAAUAUUGGUCAAUGGGCGAGAGCCUGAACCAGCCAAGUAGCGUGAAGGAUGACUGCCCUAUGGGUUGUAAACUUCUUUUAUAAAGGAAUAAAGUCGGGUAUGUAUACCCGUUUGCAUGUACUUUAUGAAUAAGGAUCGGCUAACUCCGUGCCAGCAGCCGCGGUAAUACGGAGGAUCCGAGCGUUAUCCGGAUUUAUUGGGUUUAAAGGGAGCGUAGAUGGAUGUUUAAGUCAGUUGUGAAAGUUUGCGGCUCAACCGUAAAAUUGCAGUUGAUACUGGAUAUCUUGAGUGCAGUUGAGGCAGGCGGAAUUCGUGGUGUAGCGGUGAAAUGCUUAGAUAUCACGAAGAACUCCGAUUGCGAAGGCAGCCUGCUAAGCUGCAACUGACAUUGAGGCUCGAAAGUGUGGGUAUCAA